CGCGUAGGCGGUUUGCUAAGUUGGAUGUGAAAACUCUGGGCUUAACCCAGAGCCUGCAUCCAAAACUGGCAAACUUGAGUACUGGAGGGGAAAGCGGAAUUCCUGGUGUAGCGGUGAAAUGCGUAGAUAUCAGGAGGAACACCGGUGGCGAAGGCGGCUUUCUGGACAGUAACUGACGCUGAGGCGCGAAAGCUAGGGGAGCAAACAG
rnacentral:rRNA from 1 species